rnacentral:rRNA from 1 species
UACGUAGGGGGCGAGCGUUGUCCGGAUUCAUUGGGCGUAAAGCGCGCGUAGGCGGUUCGGAAAGUCGGAUGUGAAAACCCGGAGCUCAACUCCGGGCCUGCAUCCGAUACUCCCGGACUAGAGGUAGGUAGGGGAGAUCGGAAUUCCGUGGUGUAGCGGUGAAAUGCGCAGAUAUCAGGAGGAACACCGGUGGCGAAGGCGGAUCUCUGGGCCUUACCUGACGCUCAGGCGCGAAAGCUAGGGGAGCGAACAGG